UACGGAGGGUGCAAGCGUUAUCCGGAUUCACUGGGUUUAAAGGGUGCGUAGGUGGGCAGGUAAGUCAGUGGUGAGAUCUCCGGGCUUAACCCGGAAACUGCCAUUGAUACUAUCAGUCUUGAAUACCGUGGAGGUAAGCGGAAUAUGUCAUGUAGCGGUGAAAUGCUUAGAUAUGACAUAGAACACCAAUUGCGAAGGCAGCUUACUACCCGAAUAUUGACACUGAGGCACGAAAGCGUGGGGAUCAAACAGG
rnacentral:rRNA from 1 species